rnacentral:rRNA from 1 species
AGACCCGAAACCCGGUGAUCUAGCCAUGGGCAGGUUGAAGGUUGGGUAACACUAACUGGAGGACCGAACCGACUAAUGUUGAAAAAUUAGCGGAUGACCUGUGGCUGGGGGUGAAAGGCCAAUCAAACCGGGAGAUAGCUGGUUCUCCCCGAAAGCUAUUUAGGUAGCGCCUCGUGAAUUCAUCUCCGGGGGUAGAGCACUGUUUCGGCUAGGGGGCCAUCCCGGCUUACCAACCCGAUGCAAACUGCGAAUACCGGAGAAUGUUAUCACGGGAGACACACGGCGGGUGCUAACGUCCGUCGUGAAGAGGGAAACAACCCAGACCGCCAGCUAAGGUCCCAAAGUCAUGGUUAAGUGGGAAACGAUGUGGGAAGGCCCAGACAGCCAGGAUGUUGGCUUAGAAGCAGCCAUCAUUUAAAGAAAGCGUAAUAGCUCACUGGUCGAGUCGGCCUGCGCGGAAGAUGUAACGGGGCUAAACCAUGCACCGAAGCUGCGGCAGCGACGCUUAUGCGUUGUUGGGUAGGGGAGCGUUCUGUAAGCCUGUGAAGGUGUGUCGUGAGGCAUGCUGGAGGUAUCAGAAGUGCGAAUGCUGACAUAAGUAACGAUAAAGCGGGUGAAAAGCCCGCUCGCCGGAAGACCAAGGGUUCCUGUCCAACGUUAAUCGGGGCAGGGUGAGUCGACCCCUAAGGCGA